GCACCUGUAGCUCAGCAGGAUAGAGCAGUGGUUUCCUAAACCACGUGCCGGGGGUUCAAAUCCUCUCAGGUGCACCA
rnacentral:tRNA from 1 species